AGUUCUCAUGUGCAAAUAUGUCACCAUAAGCCAGCGUUCCUUUCUCCUACCAUUUUCUCAGACCGACCACUGCCUCACUGCGUUCGCCUGUCACUGCGGAGAAUGAAGCCACUGCACUUCAUCCCGACCACUCCCAGAAUGCACACAGCUAACAUUCAGAAAACCCACAUGAAACAGAUGUUUAUGGAAGCUUGUGAAGCCACUGAGUGAAAGACAGACUCAAGGAACUCAGAGGACCUCUGAGGCCACUGGGAAAAAUAAACAUUGCCACCAGACAGCCACCUCCACAGUGUCCACUUAUGAUGCAAGGGAUCCUGGCUGGGACAGCCUAACAAGUCCAGGAAGGCUGGAGCAGAAAGAGACCUUUGAGCACCUCAUAUAAAAGACACAGCAACUAAGAACCUCUGGGGUAAAAGAAAAAAAUGGGAUGUCACCCAUGGAAAUAAAGAUGCAAAACCACAAAUAAAAGUGUAGGUCUCUUAAGAAA